rnacentral:rRNA from 1 species
CGGUGGAUGCCUUGGCAGUCAGAGGCGAUGAAAGACGUAGUAACUUGCGAUAAGCCCAGAUUAGGUAGUAACAACCAUUUGAGUCUGGGAUUUCUGAAUGGGGAAACCCACGUGCAUAAGCACGUAUCCUUACCUGAAUACAUAGGGUAAGGAGGCGAACCGGGGGAACUGAAACAUCUAAGUACCCCGAGGAAAAGAAAUCAACCGAGAUUCCGAAAGUAGCGGCGAGCGAAAUUGGACUAGCCCUUAAGCUUUACACGCG